UACGGGGGGGGCAAGCGUUGUUCGGAAUUACUGGGCGUAAAGGGCUCGUAGGCGGCCAACUAAGUCAGACGUGAAAUCCCCAGGCUCAACCUGGGAACUGCGUCUGAUACUGGAUGGCUUGAAUCCGGGAGAGGGAUGCAGAAUUCCAGGUGUAGCGGUGAAAUGCGUAGAUAUCUGGAGGAACACCGGUGGCGAAGGCGACAUCCUGGACCAACACUGACGCUGAGUGAGCGAAAGCCAGGGGAGCAAACGGG
rnacentral:rRNA from 1 species